rnacentral:rRNA from 1 species
CACGUAGGCGGACUGGAAAGUUGGAGGUGAAAUCCCAGGGCUCAACCUUGGAACUGCCUUCAAAACUAUCAGUCUGGAGUUCGAGAGAGGUGAGUGGAAUUCCGAGUGUAGAGGUGAAAUUCGUAGAUAUUCGGAGGAACACCAGUGGCGAAGGCGGCUCACUGGCUCGAUACUGACGCUGAGGUGCGAAAGUGUGGGGGAGCAAACA